rnacentral:lncRNA from 1 species
GCCCAUCUGUAAAUCUGAGCUGAAAUUUUAAAAGCACACAUCAGAGGAAGGGGCCAGACCUACUGGAGCAGGGUUUUUUGCAAGAAACGCAGGGAGACAAAGGAGAAGCAGCAUUUAGGCCCCCUUUGCCCAGUAUAUUCUAGGUUAGCACCAGAAAUAUAUAUGGGUCAGAGCCAACCUUAGGCAACAGGGUCCUUAUAUUAUUUGAUUAAGGAAGUUUUGCCCUGCCCCUUGCAUGAUCAAGAGCUGGUGUAUGGAAACAAGCCAGGCAAGAACCUUACCUGGAUGCCAUCCUGCCAGCUCAGCAUUUGGGUUUGGGGAAGAGGCUAGCCUUUCCCCUGGCUUGAUCAGAUGCCUGGGAUUCUAACUGUGUGUUCACAGUUGUGGGGAGAGGCAAGCUAUUGACAGGAGUCACAUAUUUGUUCGUGAUUGUUGUCAGCAAUCCUGCCUGGCAUGAUGGAGACAGAGGGCUGGAUUCUAAGCCUUGCCUUUGAAAAGCAAAAGAUAUUUGCCAAUGAACAAUAACCUGGAUGCUCAAAGGAUGAUAACCCUGAGGUUGAGGGAUACCAAGUACCUUGUCCACAAUUCAGCAACAAUGGGACAGGCCUUGAGGAGAAGAUGAUGAAGUAAAUAAUGGAACCACAAGAGAGUCGGAAACACACACUCUGCGCCACUAUGGGUGGAGCAGCUUAACUUAGACAAGCAAGUUAGAAAUCAUCUAUGGCCUUUGGAGUGCAGAAUGAGAAGCAGAUCGGAAAUGACUGGAUAUGGAUGCAUUGAGAACAUUUAUGCAUUUCUUGGGUUUUGUUAAACAAGUGUAUGUUACGUGUCUAUUGCUUUGGGAAGAAAAUUAGGAAGAAUGGAUUUUCUCGGUAAAUUCCCUGCAGCACCUAACACAUUUUAGUAGACAGGCACUCAAUACAUGUUUGAGACUAAUUUACUCUAAAGAUCGAAAUAUGAUAUUGACUGAAUGGUCAAAUUAAAUAUAUAAUUAAAUAUCCAGCCAAUUUAAAGUUACACCAAGUAAAUCAAGGUAUGCAAGUCCCAAAAACUUCAUAAGAAUUAUAGAAUUAUGAUAAAGACAUACAAUUUUAUCAAUUAAAAAACUUUUUAAAGAAUUUCAGAUCAACAUUUGAUAGGCUAAGACAUUCUUUAUUUUCAUUAAAAUACUGAAGAAAAUUUAAUUAAUUUUUUAAAUAAAUGUGAAAUUAAAUGUUUACUUUUCAAAACUUGUCAUUAUUCACUAAAGAAAAUUAAUUGUGUCAUUAUUUCUCAUUAG